GAUGAACGCUGGCGGCGUGCCUAAUACAUGCAAGUCGAGCGAACGGACGAGAAGCUUGCUUCUCUGAUGUUAGCGGCGGACGGGUGAGUAACACGUGGAUAACCUACCUAUAAGACUGGGAUAACUUCGGGAAACCGGAGCUAAUACCGGAUGAUAUUUUGAACCGCAUGGUUCAAAAGUGAAAGACGGUCUUGCUGUCACUUAUAGAUGGAUCCGCGCUGCAUUAGCUAGUUGGUAAGGUAACGGCUUACCAAGGCAACGAUGCAUAGCCGACCUGAGAGGGUGAUCGGCCACACUGGAACUGAGACACGGUCCAGACUCCUACGGGAGGCAGCAGUAGGGAAUCUUCGGCAAUGGGCGAAAGCCUGACGGAGCAACGCCGCGUGAGUGAUGAAGGUCUUCGGAUCGUAAAACUCUGUUAUUAGGGAAGAACAGAUGUGUAAGUAACUGUGCACGUCUUGACGGUACCUAAUCAGAAAGCCACGGCUAACUACGUG
rnacentral:rRNA from 1 species